rnacentral:rRNA from 1 species
UUCUGGUUGAUCCUGCCAGCAGAGCACCGCUAUUGGAGUGCGCUUAAGCCAUGCGAGUCGAGAGGGUUCGGCCCUCGGCAUACGGUCAGUAACACGUGGGUAACCUGCCCUUGGGUGGGGGAUAAGCUCGGGAAACUGAGUAUAAUACCCCAUAGUUCUGAAUUGCUGGAAUGCGUUCAGGAUGAAAGCUCCGGCGCCCAAGGAUGGGCCUGCGGCCUAUCAGGUAGAAGUGGGGGUAACGGCCCCACUUGCCUUCGACGGGUACGGGUCUUGGGAGAGAGCGCCCGGAGAUGGACUCUGAGACACGAGUCCAGGUCCUACGGGAUGCAGCAGCGCCGAAAACUUCGCAUGCGCGAAAAGCGUGACGAGGGUACUCCAAAGUGCCUAUGCUUUGCAUAGGCUGUUCUUCAUCCUAAAAUGACGGAGAAGUAAGGGCUGGGUAAGACGGGUGCCAGCCGCCGCGGUAAUACCCGCAGCCCGAGUGGUGUUCACUUUUACUGGGCCUAAAACGUUCGUAGCUGGUCUGGUAAAUUCUUGGAUAAAUCGGGCAGCUUAACUGUUCGGGUUCUAGGGAGACUGCCAGACUUGGGACCGGGGGAAGUCAGAGGUACUCAGGGGGUAGGGGUAAAAUCCUAUAAUCCCCUGGGGACCACCUGUGGCGAAGGCGUCUGACUACAACGGCUCCGACAGUGAGGGACGAAGCCCAGGUCGCGAACGGGAUUAGAUACCCCGGUAGUCCUGGGUGUAAACGCUGCAGGCUUGGUGUUGGGGGGCCCUGAGGUCGCCCAGUGCCGUAGAGAAGUUGUUAAACCUGCUGGCUGGGAAGUACCACGCAAGUGUAAACUUAAAGAAUUGGCGGGGGGAACACUUGAACCGGAGGAGCUUCCGGUUUAUUGGU